rfam:Triticum aestivum genome assembly, contig: Triticum_aestivum_CS42_TGACv1_scaffold_593083_7BS
UGUAUAUUUACUCUGCCUCAAAUUACUAGUCGUAGGUAUGCCUAAGAUAUAGAUGUAUUUAGACAUGUUUUAGUAUUAAAUACAUCCAUAUCUAGAAAAAGUUAAGACAAAUAAUUUGAGACAGAGGUACUACCUU